UGGGUUUUAUUCCUAUUGAGUAUUUUCUGUGAUUGGGUCUAUUUGAUUGAAGAUUUCUCACAUUUUCUUCACAUUGAAAAUCCCUAUGUGAUUGUGUCUAUUUGAUAUCUCGUUUGGUAUUUUCGAACUGUGAUUCUAUUAAGGAUUUCGAUGGGUUCCAGGUUCAGACAAUUUUCAGGUUGUAGAGGUUUUGAUUUGGAGUAUAAUUGGUUUUGGGUAUACCAUAUUUUAAGGUAAUUUUGUCCAGUGACUCCAUUAGGAUGAUUAGGACUGGGAAGGAUCAAGUUCAAUUACUGCACACCAUGUGUUUGAAGUUAUGCCUCAAAGACAGCACCCAAGCUGAACCAGUGGGCUAUUCCAUGAUUUUCGAAAACCCUAUACUUCUUGUUUUACUCUCAGUUUUUGAUAGCUUAAAAUAGACUCUUCAAUGAUCAUUUUGAGCUAGGUUUCAUGAAAAACGGAGUUAAAAUGAAAUACUUAUGCCAUUUUGAAAUUACUGCACUGUUUCAGAAUUUCUGCAGAAAUCAGUCUUUUCUGCUACUUUGGAUUCUUGUUUGACCACUCAUUUGAACUGCGAAUGACCUGAAAUUUUGCAAAAUAAUAGCUUUACAUGUCUACUUCAAAUCUGGAGAGUUUUGCAUGAAAUAACUGAAGAGUAGUUGUUGGUGAAUUUUUCUUUCUUGCUACCAGUCUUCUGAAAUUUUCUCAAAUUUGCAGCAACCUUGUUACGAAACAAUCUGUUUGACAGGCCUUCACACCUUUGUCAGUCCUUGAAUUUUAGUAUAUUAAAAUAGACUGAAUAUUAACAUUCUUAUCUGGAUUUCUUGUUAACACUUAAGCAGGUUUGUAGAGAAAACAACAACCAUGGGUCUAGAAGAAUGCUAUUCACAUCGAUAUGUAAGUCUAAUAUCACGAAGAUAUGGCUUAUUCUUUUUUCCCUUGUGGUUUAUUUCUGCUCUUUAUUCUAGUUUUGUUGCUUGCUGCAGUUACUUUAAAGUCAGUGCAAGAGAAUGAUAACUAUAUAUGCUGCAAUGAGAGAAAAGCCCAAAGAUUUUGCAAGUGAAAGCAUAGCAAGAGCUUAAGUUGGUUUGGGUCAAACUGAGAUUUAAGUUGAAAUUUGCUUUGAAUGUGGUAGGCACAUAUGUGCGCCAUGAUUGAACUAUUGUUGCCAUUGCUGAAGAAAGCUACCCCUGAUACACCAGAGUAACAAGCCUCAACAAAGAAGGUUGAACAUGUAGAUGCAAAAGUAUGGAACAACUGCAAGUUGGAGACCAGUGGAGUGGAGCGGGUCAGCCUAGUUUUUCAACUUUUGGUCUUCCUUUUGGGUACUCUUAUGAUGUAGUGGAACUAAAUGAUGAAACAAUUGUGAUGAUUUCUUAAUGAAACUAGCAGUAUUAUGUCUC